UUGAACGCUGGCGGCAGGCCUAACACAUGCAAGUCGAGCGGUUGAGAGUAGCUUGCUACUUGAUGCAGCGGCGGACGGGUGAGUAACGCGUGGGAAUCUGCCCAGUAGUGGGGGACAACAGCCGGAAACGGCUGCUAAUACCGCAUACGCCCUACGAGGGCAAGGGGGGGAUCUUCGGACCUCUCGCUAUUGGAUGAGCCCGCGGCGGAUUAGCUAGUUGGUAGGGUAAAGGCCUACCAAGGCUACGAUCCGUAACUGGUCUGAGAGGAUGAUCAGUCACACUGGAACUGAGACACGGUCCAGACUCCUACGGGAGGCAGCAGUGGGGAAUAUUGGACAAUGGGGGAAACCCUGAUCCAGCCAUGCCGCGUGUGUGAAGAAGGCCUUAGGGUUGUAAAGCACUUUCAGUGGGGAGAAAGGUUUGUCACCUAAUACGUGAUGAAAUUGAUGUUACCCACAGAAGAAGCACCGGCUAACUCCGUGCCAGCCGCCGCGGUAAGAC
rnacentral:rRNA from 1 species